GUCCACGCCGUAAACGAUGGAUACUAGCUGUUGGGGUUUACCUCAGUGGCUAAGCGAAAGUGAUAAGUAUCCCACCUGGGGAGUGCGUUCGCAAGAAUGAAACUCAAAAGGAAUUGACGGGGGCCCGCACAAGCGGUGGAGCAUGUGGUUUAAUUCGAUGAUACGCGAGGAACCUUACCAAGGCUUAAAUGUAGAUUGACAGGACUGGAAACAGUUUUUUCUCGGACAAUUUACAAGGUGCUGCAUGGUUGUCGU
rnacentral:rRNA from 1 species